AGAUAGCCCAGAAUUCCCGGGAUAAUGUGUAACGGGGCCCGCUAGUAAAGGAAUCGCUAAGGACCUAUGGCACACGGGACAAGAGCCUGGAGAGCAAGGGCCCCUGAGUUGGAGGCCUGGGAAGGACCGAAUAAGGCAACGUGUGGACGAAGUCUUACGUGAACUGGAAGCUACCAGCUACGUCAUUUCAAGAAUGCUGUGGCCAUCACACAAGGAGCCCUGGACCCUACACCCUGUAAACCCAACCCUUAGAGUUUGGGGGCCCCUUUCCUUCACAGGUACGUGAAUCCCCAUUUGACCUGGCCCUCACCCAUCGUUCUUAGUCCCCAGGCAGGCUCUGUGUUUUCCAAAAUCCCAUCUUUUUGUUUUUUUGUUUUCCCCCCUUCUUUUCUUUUCAAACGAGUUCAAAUGGCUUCAGCCACAUCUGGGGAAUCCUUGAAGUCUCAAUUCUGAUGCUCACUUAGGACCCAUUCUGCUACACGUUUUUCCAACACGACUGACCUCCUCUCCCAUCCCAACUCUAUGGCCUCUGGGAACAGUCUGACUGCGACAGUACCGAUUAUUAAUGAUACCGUGAACGACCGAG